rnacentral:rRNA from 1 species
CUUACGGGAGGCAGCAGUAGGGAAUUUUCCGCAAUGGGCGAAAGCCUGACGGAGCAAUACCGCGUGAGGGAUGACUGCCUAUGGGUUGUAAACCUCUUUUUUCAGGGAGGAAUUAAUGACGUGUACCUGAAGAAUAAGCAUCGGCUAACUCC